rnacentral:rRNA from 1 species
AUGGGUUACUCCAAAAACCUAGGGGCUGGCCUGUUUGCCAUGCUGCUCCUUGCUCCGGCCGUCCUAGCCUCGGACCCUGACCCUCUCCAGGACUUCUGCGUUGCCAACCUCAACGGCAAGGCGGUCUCGGUGAACGGGCAUCCAUGCAAACCCUUGUUAGAGGCCGGCGACGACUUCCUCUUCUCGUCCAAGCUGGCCAAGGCCGGCAACACGUCCACCCCGAAUGGCUCGGCUGUGACGGAGCUCGACGUGGCCGAGUGGCCCGGUACGAACACGCUGGGUGUGUCCAUGAACCGCGUGGACUUCGCGCGGGGAGGCACCAACCCGCCUCACAUCCACCCGCGCGGGACCGAGAUCGGCAUGGUGAUGAAAGGUGAGCUCCUCGUUGGAAUCCUCGGCAGCCUCGACUCCGGAAACAAGCUCUACUCCAGGGUGGUGCGUGCUGGAGAGACGUUCCUCAUCCCGCGCGGGCUCAUGCACUUCCAGUUCAACGUUGGUAAGACGGAUGCCUACAUGGUUGUCUCCUUCAACAGCCAGAACCCCGGCAUCGUCUUCGUGCCGCUCACGCUCUUCGGUUCCAACCCGCCAAUCCCCACGCCAGUGCUCACCAAGGCGCUAAGGGUGGAGGCCGGGGUCGUCGAACUUCUCAAGUCCAAGUUCGCUGGUGGGUCUUAA